rnacentral:rRNA from 1 species
UACGAAGGGGGGCUAGCGUUGCUCGGAAUGACUGGGCGUAAAGGGCUCGUAGGCGGCCAACUAAGUCGGAUGUGAAAUCCCCAGGCUCAACCUGGGAACUGCAUCCGAUACUGGAUGGCUUGAAUUCGGGAGAGGGAUGCAGAAUUCCAGGUGUAGCGGUGAAAUGCGUAGAUAUCUGGAGGAAUACCGGUGGCGAAGGCGGCAUCCUGGACCGACAUUGACGCUGAGGAGCGAAAGCCAGGGGAGCAAACGGG